GCCACAUCACAAUGAAAUACUGGUUCUCGUAUGAUCGCCAAAGUUAAGCAAUGUUGAGCCUGGUUAGAACCUAGAUGGGUGACCACUUAGGAAUACCAGGUGCUGUAA